UGGGGAAUAUUGCACAAUGGGCGCAAGCCUGAUGCAGCCAUGCCGCGUGUGUGAAGAAGGCCUUCGGGUUGUAAAGCACUUUCAGCGGGGAGGAAGGCGAUAAGGUUAAUAACCUCAUCGAUUGACGUUACCCGCAGAAGAAGCACCGGCUAACUCCGUGCCAGCAGCCGCGGUAAUACGGAGGGUGCAAGCGUUAAUCGGAAUUACUGGGCGUAAAGCGCACGCAGGCGGUUUGUUAAGUCAGAUGUGAAAUUCCCGGGCUCAACCUGGGAACUGCAUCUGAUACUGGCAAGCUUGAGUCUCGUAGAGGGGGGUAGAAUUCCAGGUGUAGCGGUGAAAUGCGUAGAGAUCUGGAGGAAUACCGGUGGCGAAGGCGGCCCCCUGGACGAAGACUGACGCUCAGGUGCGAAAGCGUGGGGAGCAAACAGG
rnacentral:rRNA from 1 species